AAGGAGUCGAACAUCUAUGCGAGUGUUCGGGUGUCAAACCCCUACGCGUAAUGAAAGCGAACGGAGGUGAGAGCCUCCUGAGGGGAGCAUCAUCGACCGAUCCUGAUGUCUUCGGAGGGAUUUGAGUAAGAGCGUAGCUGUGGGGACCCGAAAGAUGGUGAACUACGCCUGAAUAGGGUGAAGCCAGAGGAAACUCUGGUGGAGGCUCGCAGCGGUUCUGACGUGCAAAUCGAUCGUCAAAUUUGGGUAUAGGGGCGAAAGACUAAUCGAACCAUCUGGUAGCUGGUUCCUGC
rnacentral:misc_RNA from 1 species